UUAAAGGCAGUGCUUUAAGGCCUGACUUUUAAGUCAUGAGGUUCAUCUUUUCAUACGCAAUCCAUGCUGGGGGUCUUUUGGCCAGAAAUAGAUCCGGAAAUGUUCGAAUUUCUCCUCUUCUUUUUAUGGUAUGAUAUGGUUUUUGUUUCUUUCAUUUACAUUGGGGACUAAAGAAACGAUCAGUGUGUAUUGUUCGUUUUAUAGAACUUGUUAUAAGUGUGUAUUUUGCAUUAUAAGCAGUCAACCUGACUACAAACUAUCAUUAUUUGUAUAUUCCGUGUGGAAAGAGGUCGGGUCAAUUUCAAGUGUUAUCUGACAUCUAAAGAUUCUUUAAUUCGUUCAGACGUUGAUAUAACAAUGAAAAGUCGACUGAACAUGAUUAAUAUUGCAUCUUCUAUUAUUCAAAGCGGAAUUGGGUUUAUGAACGAGAAACCGUAAAGCGUUUUCAAUUUCGGUAUUAGUUAUGUAUGUUAUCUACGUAUUAUCAUGGUUCCCGGUACUACGUUCCGGGUAUUAGCUAUUUGAUAUAUUUAAUGUGUAACAUUACAAUCGGGUACCAGCCAAUCUACGUGUGUAUGUGUACAUGAUUUACCGCCAAAAUGACCGACUUAAAAAAUAGUCCAUAAACGUUCCGUAUAAUGAUAUGCAAAUUCAUAAUUAAUCGUAACCUUUUUUUAUCUUUGGAUAAUUAAUAUAACAAAAUGGAUUCCACAAAAUUGAAAAUAGCAUUAUUUUACGAGGAUUUCUCAUAUUUUUUUCACUUCCGGCGCAGUAAUACGUAUGUUUUGAAGAAGCUCGAAGAAUUUGACAAAGUGAAUUGAGAAGGAAACGGAUAGAUAUACGUUCUUGCUAUCAGGGCACAAACCCACAUUAAAGAGACUUGUCUACUGUCAUACCCAUCCUAUUUUCAUGCACCAUUUGCAAGCAAGAGACUGAAUGGUUUGCAAAAUUAAAAAUCAGGACGGUGUCCAAUUAAAACAAAAGAACUAAACUGGAUGAAUAUUGUAGGAGAAAUCUAGACAUGCUAGAGGAAAGUUUUGAUUUUUGAAAUUGGUUUUCCUGAAAAGUCAUUCAUCCUAGCCUGCAGAAAGGAACUCUAACUGUCCACCACCAACUGACGAGCUAAUGUUGAGCUUCACAUAUGGAAUUACUCAAAUACCAUCAAUGUCUAUGUUUUCAGCACAAAUUUCACAAUUUAUGACACAGCUGUGCUUUUUUUAUACCGUUAAAGAGUUGUAUACUAAAUUUUAUUUUUUUAUCAAUAAAUAUAUAUUAUAUUAAUUGUGUCAUCUUAGAACAAAGUCUUGUAUUUUGCCAAAAGAUGCAUACUAGUGAAUGAAAGUGGUGCAGUUCAUUUUGCUUUGGUACAUGUAUAUAGAAUUGAAUUACAAUUGUUCAUGUUAUUGGAAUGCAUAUAAAAAUAAGGAGAUGUGGUACAAUGUAUAUGAUAUUUAGUGAGUUUAUCAAGCAAAAGUGAAUAAGAAAUAGGUAUAAGCAGUUACAGGUACUACUGUACAAUCUGAAACAAGGAGAAAAACUCAUACCGUAAAGAGAAUUUCAUAUUUACAAGUAAGUUUUGUUUUUGCGUUGAAUAAUUUUCUUCUAUUGUUUUAAUUGCAAAUAUGGGAAGUGGUUAAAAUGCUAAUGAGACAGCUGUUAUGGCCACAGAGCCUUAAUUGAAAACUUCUUUUUCAUUCAUACCGGUAGAUUUUGCCUGGAGUAAGAAACAUAUCUGCCAACUUUUCAAAAUGCACAUGGGGGUUUUACGUGAAAGAUGGUUUAUAUAGUCAUACAAAACCUUCAAGGGGGCCUUCAAAUGGAAGCAGGACAAGUCCCCCCACUGGCUAAUCUGCCCACUUUUUAAAAAAACACCACAAACUGAUUUAUCAAAUCACCCCACAUGUGAAAUUGGUUAAAUCAUGUUUAAUAUUACUCCUGCCAACUCGCCCCACAUGUGAAAUUGGUUAAAUCAUUUUAAAUCAGGGUUCUCACUAAGGAUUUUUGAAGGCGAGUCCAGGGACUCGUCAUUUUUGGCCACGGUGAGUCAUGGUAACUGUGUUCAGUUUAUACAAAAUAUUUCAAUAUUGAUGUAUUUGUGGACUCACCAGUUUUGAAAAUGGUGAGUCCAGACAGAUUUUGUUGAGUCCAGGACUCAUAUACUCGCCUUAGCGAGAACCCUGUUUAAUAUUACUCCUGCCAACUCGCCCUACUUAUAAAAAAACGGUAAUUUUUAGAUUAAUAUAUAUAUAUAUAUAUAAUUAAAAAUUAAAACUCGCACCACUUUAAUGAAAACUAAUCUACACAGAAUACAAACAAACCGAAAAUUAAUUUAAUUACUAUUAUUGAUAUAUACUGAAGAAUAAAUGUAAGUUUUGAAGCUUAGUUAUUUGCAUAACAAUUGAAAAGAAACCUGUUAAUUGUAUCAUAAUGCAAUAUAAGGAAUUGAACUUAUAUUCAAUGGGAUAACAUCUUUUUCCAUACGUGGGGCGAGUUGGCAUUACUAAAUUCAUCCUGGUUAAUAAUAUAUUUAUCUAGAUUUCAUCGAUUUCCAUUAGGUGGGACCAGUUGGCAAGAGUUAUAUUAACAGAAUUUAACUUAUAUACAAUGGGAUAACAUCUUUUUACAUAAGUGGGGCGAGUUGGCAUUACUAAAUUCUUCCUGGUUAAUAAUAUAUUUAUCUAGAUAUUAUCGUUUUCUAUUAGGUGGGGCGAGUUGGCAGGAGUAAUAUUAACGGGAUUUAACACAGUUCACAAGUGGGGCGAUUUGGUAAUCCAGGUUGGGGCAGGUUUUUUUUUAAAGUGGGGCGAGUUAGUGAAAAAGUGGGGCUAUUUGCUAAUGGGGCGAUUGUCAUGGAUUCCCUUCAAAUAUAUUCUAAUGUGGUUUUUGGCUUCUUCUUGCAUUAACAAGCUUAUAGCCAUUGUUGAAUUAAUUGUUUUCUUUAAAUAGUCGACAAAAUUGCUCUUACAAAAUUUCCAUUUGGGAGCCUCGAGCUCGAUGGGGGAAAUACUCUGCAAAUACUGACAGUUGGCAGGUAUGGUCAUCAAAAAAGUUGACAUGUUACUAUGUACAUUUACCAUUAUGUUACUUGAUGUUCUUGCUAUACACACAGUACAGAGACUAGUCAAUCUUUGUGAACUAUUUUUUUAUGGGAGUCAUAGAAUAUGCGUAUACAAUCAAUAAUUAAAAAUAGUCUAUUUAUAUUGAAAAGGAAAAGUUCU